CAAUGGGGAGAUUCCCAAGCAGAGGAAGGAGACUCAGCUAUUGGACAGUCAAAGAAAUCAUGAAGGUCUACUAUAUGUAUUUCCACUCCUGACCUAACUGAAUAUAACUGUAAAACCAUCAUCAGGGGAUCUGGCUAACAGUGUGAGAAGCUGCCUAAUUCUGACUACACCUUCUGACCUCACUCUGGUGUGGACUUGAAGAGGGUGCUCUUGGAUCCAAGAACUUGAGACCAACUCUAACUAUCUUAAUCUAUUUAUUGAGAGUGUAUCAGAGCUUGCAGAACCAACCCAAUGUGUGGGUUUGGGUGUGGAGAGCAAACACAGUAGUCCUGAAGGCUGGAAAGCUGGUCUUUCACCUGGAAUGGGUGGGCUUGGACAUCACCUCUGCAUUGCUGGACUGUGGUAUGGUCUCACACCACAAGAAGAUUUAAGCAACCUUAUUAACUUAAUAAAGAUUUAAAGACGUUGA
rnacentral:lncRNA from 10 species